UGCGGUGCGCAGGAGGUGACACCAGCUCAGAUAUUUCAUCCCUCUGCCAAGAGAUGUGAUACCACCCAUGAUUCAGGCGGAGACUGUGGAGCCACCAUGUGAUAAGCUGCCACCAUGCAGCAGAGACAGGGUCCAGUGUCAGCCUUUAGCCUGUGGCCCUGGAAAGGUCAGAGUGAAAGGAUGGUGCCACCUGUAUCCAGCUUUGGUCUUUCUCUUUACUAUUUCUGGAAAUACCCUCAUAGUCACACUCAAAGGAGUGUUUCCGUGGAGAUUCUAAAUCCGUUCAAGUUGAGAACCAAGGGACCAGGGAGAUGGCUCUGUGUACCCACUUGAUGCCAAGCCUGGGUCACCUGGAUGAAGGAAAGAACCAACUCCAAGAGUUAUCCUGUGACACCUCCCUGCCACACACAAUUAUUUUUUUAAAAUCUAUGUAGUAUUUAAAGUCAACACUGAAGAUGAAGGAUCACAUAACUGUGGUGGGCAGCACAGCAGAGGGGAGCAGCCCACAGCAGGGGAACAGGGGCAGCCAGAAAGCAGGGGGUGGGGAGAAAGCAAAGGCUCAGGGUGACACAGCGACCCAAGCACAAGCCCCUAGUGAACCUCUUCAUCCAGCCAGACUUUCUGAAGUUUCCGUAGUUAUCUACCUCGUUUGAACACUUGCCGGGGUAAGACACCUUGGCAAAACGAUGGAAGGGAAAAAACAUGUUUUGGUUCGCAGUCCCAGGCUUCUGUCCAUCAGGUCCCUGCCUCAGGCUCUUGCCCUGACUUCCUUCAGUGAUGUGACGAAUGUGACCUGAGUUCUAAGAUGAAGUAAACCCCAUUCUCCCCAAGCUGCUUUCGAUCAUAGUGGCAUUUUAUCACAGCAACGGAAAUGCUAAUUAAGACAACUGGCCAGAGACCAUAACCCAAACCCAAACCGACAGACUGAGGAAGAUUCACCACACCUGACCCAACUCCCUUUUCUCCAGACCACUUUGACUACCGACCCCAUCUCUGAACACUCAGCAGUGUGUGGGAACUUCCCUUUAACCUCAGUUCUCAGGACUGCGCUGACAAGGGACUAAGAGGGGCCAAGACACACAAGUGUAUAAUGUGCACAGUGGGGAAUACAAUCACCCGUGAACCCCAGUAAAGCUCGGGGUUCAUGUCUUCCUGAAUGGGGAAGAGAGAGGGAACAGUGGUGAGUAAAUGGACCAAGAAUAAAGAACAAAGGGACCCAGGACACGGAAA